GGACUAUUGCGCCAUUUGUUUUGAGAAAUGCUGUUCGACAUCACAGAUUCACAUCUUUUACAGUUCAGUGGUUCAAUCGGUGCGGCUCAUUCUCUUUUCUGACUUUUUUCGCCAAAAAAAUGGCAACAGCCUACCAUUUAUGUUGACAAAUCCAUCUGAUAACGUGGCCUGCUGUACAUUUUCCCAAAAUGUCUUGCUGCACGUUCCGGCUGUACGUGUAGCACAUGCAGAAAUACUUACUAACUGUGAAGGUGAUAAUGUUGGUAAACUUGUUAACUUCUGAGCUACUUUGAUGGAGUCCAUUGUGCACAUUGAUUUGUUGCAGCCAGGUGGUGAAAGGUGUUCCUCUGCAGUUUUGCCACCUGUUUCAGUUGUAGCUUUCCUCACAUGCAGAAACACUUGAGAUCAAUCUAAAACAGUGGCUGGAAAUGUGUUUCAUUUUUACAUAGGAAAAUGAUGAGAAAUUUCCAGCCAUCUGACCUAGCUGAAUCGGAAUGGAAGUGAAGAAUUCUAAAGGGACAUGUUGAAUAACUUGCCUAUCUCCACAUGGUGGCUGCCAUGUCAUGAAGAUACGUCUUUGAGGGGGUUUCUACUACUUUGCAUGACAGAAAUGUGACAAAAACAGGAAAUCUGAAAUGGUAAUAUCUUGUAAAAUGAAUCAAGUAGGGUUUCAUUUUGCUCUUGAUGUAGAAGACAAGUGAUAUCCUGUUUCAUGCUUCCAAACAAGACAUCAUUCAUGGAAGUUCUAUGUUAUUAUGUAAAUUUGUUUUGACCUAAGUAACAGCACGGAAAUUCCCUUAAUACUUAAAAAUCGGCUGCAUUUUUUCGAUAUUUCGUCUGUUGGUACCCCUGUAGUGGCGUUGAGGUUAUACCUGAUGUACAGUUUCAAUUAAUUAUUAACUUGUAACUGUAUUUCUGUUCCCGUUAUUACGGUUUAAUCGUUUGCCGUUGUCCACUUGAUCCAUUGGCGAAACAGAGGAGAUAGAAAAGUGACUGAAAUUUAAAACUGAUGUGUUAAAUUCAAAGUGCAUAUUUGUGCUGCUUUCCUAUCUGGUGUUUCUAAAAAAAAAAAUACUUUUCCUUGCUGAGAUAACCAUAAUGGAGCGUUUUCCUCUUGGUAAUGUAGGAAUAUAGCCCUAAAUCACACAUUAAUGAAACGUUUUUGGAAUAAUAUAUCUUCUCUUUUCCCCUUCUUUUAACCACCAGUCAACACAAAAUUCCAUUCAUUUAUGCAAUAGAUUUAUAAAUAAAAAUAAUAUUCGUCCUAUUUUUAAAAUAAAAAUUCUUGCUUAUU
rnacentral:lncRNA from 1 species